rnacentral:lncRNA from 1 species
AAUCAUAAACAUACAUAAAAGUAAGGAAAAUUAAUUGGACGUUGGUUCACCCUUAUUCAUCAAUGGGAAAACUAAUUGCAUAAUACUUAUAAAGGUUAAUUUUUUGGCAAAGAGAUGCAAAGAGGCCAUACUUGGGUUGUGGAAGAAAUCGUACUCGUCCACGUUUUACUUGGAUAAUCCAACUUUGAAGCACACGUGUAGGCACCAGAUUUA